rnacentral:rRNA from 1 species
UCUGGUUUCUUUUGCUUUGUGGUAACACCUAACCCAUUCCGAACUUAGAAGUGAAAUACAAAGCGGGGAGAUAAUAUUUGGAGGGACACCUUCUGAGAAAAUCUUCUUGAUGCCAGAU